AAAAGUCGUAACAAGGUCUCCGUAGGUGAACCUGCGGAGGGAUCAUUACACAAAUAUGAAGGCGGGCUGGAACCUCUCGGGGUUACAGCCUUGCUGAAUUAUUCACCCUUGUCUUUUGCGUACUUCUUGUUUCCUUGGUGGGUUCGCCCACCACUAGGACAAACAUAAACCUUUUGUAAUUGCAAUCAGCGUCAGUAACAAAUUAAUAAUUACAACUUUCAACAACGGAUCUCUUGGUUCUGGCAUCGAUGAAGAACGCAGCGAAAUGCGAUAAGUAGUGUGAAUUGCAGAAUUCAGUGAAUCAUCGAAUCUUUGAACGCACAUUGCGCCCUUUGGUAUUCCAAAGGGCAUGCCUGUUCGAGCGUCAUUUGUACCCUCAAGCUUUGCUUGGUGUUGGGCGUCUUGUCUCUAGCUUUGCUGGAGACUCGCCUUAAAGUAAUUGGCAGCCGGCCUACUGGUUUCGGAGCGCAGCACAAGUCGCACUCUCUAUCAGCAAAGGUCUAGCAUCCAUUAAGCCUUUUUUCAACUUUUGACCUCGGAUCAGGUAGGGAUACCCGCUGAACUUAAG
rnacentral:rRNA from 1 species